rnacentral:rRNA from 1 species
UACGUAGGUGGCAAGCGUUGUCCGGAUUUACUGGGCGUAAAGGGAGCGUAGGCGGACUUUUAAGUGAGAUGUGAAAUACCCGGGCUCAACUUGGGUGCUGCAUUUCAAACUGGAAGUCUAGAGUGCAGGAGAGGAGAAUGGAAUUCCUAGUGUAGCGGUGAAAUGCGUAGAUAUUAGGAAGAACACCAGUGGCGAAGGCGACUUACUGGACUGAAACUGACGCUGAGGCUCGAAAGCGUGGGGAGCAAACAGGAUUAGAUACCCUGGUA